GUCUUCUUGUUUUUAUAUGAAGUCUGACCUGCCCGGUGAUUAUUUUUAACGGCCGCGGUAUAUUGACCGUGCAAAGGUAGCAUAAUCAUUAGUCUUUUAAAAGGAGGCUGGAAUGAAGGGUUUGACGAGAUACUAUCUGUCUCGGCCGCAAUUAUUAAAACUUAACUUUUAAGUUAAAAGGCUUAAAUUUUAUUGAAAGACGAGAAGACCCUAUAGAGCUUUAUGAUUGUUUUAUUAUGAUUUUAUUAUAAAGUUUUACUAUUACAAUUAUUUUGUUGGGGUGACAAAAAAUACAAGAUUAACUUUUUUAUUUAUAAGACAUUUAUGUAUGAUAUAUUAGAUCCAGUAUUAUUGAUUAUUAGACUAAGUUACCUUAGGGAUAACAGCGUAAUCUUCUUUUGGAGUUCUUAUUUACAAGAAGGAUUGCGACCUCGAUGUUGGAUUAAGAUUAUAAUUGGGUGUAGUAGCUCAUAAUUAUAGGUCUGUUCGACCUUUAAAUUCUU
rnacentral:rRNA from 1 species